ACAGAUGGGGAGUAAGAUGAAGAAAGCUAUAGGCAUCCCACAGAGUUUCGUUGACACUACAAACAUAAAGCAUGUAGUUUGCCGGAAACUGCUGAAACCUGUCAGCCCUGGUCGAUGAAGUGUGCACCUUGUGUGGAACAACCCUUCUGCUUUGAACACAAUUGAACAAAUGUGCAUCUAAAACUUCUCAAAGCGAGAUGCUACACUUCAGCGUGGAUCAAGUGUCGGAUUCUUGAAGGUAGAUUUUAAAGAGCUGGACCUGAUGACCAAUUUCUGCAGCUAUUCCUCAACUAUUGAGCAGAGGAGUUUGCAAAUAGACUACCCACUUUCCAUUACACUUGAAGCUACAUUGAGAGAGAGUCCUACUCUUUUUCAGCUUUCUCUGGUUCCUGUUACACUUCUAUUCACGGACAUAAAAGCAACAAGGUUUAGAUUUUACAGCGUAACACAAUUCAUGCCAUUAUUAUUGUAUGAGAACAAACUUGAAAAAAGGCCCUGGGCGAUGCCCAGACUACAGGCAAGUCCAAACACAAAAUGCAUUAGUAUGGCUCUCUAGAUUGGAGAGGCUGAA